CCUUUGCUAGCUCAGUUGGUAGCGCGGAGGACUGUAGUGGUUAAACAGUGAUCCUUAGGUCGCUGGUUCGAAUCCGGCUCGAAGGA